GACCUUCAGGGAAACGCUAUCGUCACUGUGGGAGGUGAGCGGGUCUACAGUAGGGUCACUAGAGGGGUCUACACUCCUGACAGAGGGGGUUCUUGUAUCGCUCUCAGUCCUGAUGGUCUUCCAGCUCCACUCGCUCUCCCAGUCUGAGAAUUGAGAGGCUCAGAGAGACUGUACUACUGCACCACCAGAGACGGAGGAGAGAUCCAACCAGACUGCUUACAGUCUCAUCCACCCUCACGUUCCUGUUGGCUGAACACAAGCUGGGGCAGGAGCGUGAAAUUAAUAAUGAGACUGAGGAGGAGAACUCACUGCCUGUGCUGAAGGGUUUCUGAUCUUCUUUCUUGUGAUUGAGAGGAAAAGGAAAAAGAGCCCACCCACCCUGAUGGGGAGUGAGUCUGAUCUUCACCCUGUUCUCUGCUCUCCUUCUGCGUUUGUGUCCACUGGCUCAGUCACUGAGCAGGAGAGAGAGCCCACAUGAUUCCCUGGAAAACACAGACAGACGUUUGGAACAGAUCAGCGGAAGACUGCAGGUGUUGCUUAAUGAAGGACAGUUUUGUACCAAAACAACUGAAAACCUGACAGAAUUAACGAGGACACCCUUUCUUGGAUAUUCUCUGUACGUGUUAACCACUAAACCAGACCGUCUCUUCAGUCUGCUUCCUGAAUAAUUAGUUUAUUGGCCUGUUUACUAUG